rnacentral:rRNA from 1 species
GACGGAGGGGGCAAGCGUUGUUCGGAAUUAUUGGGCGUAAAGGGCUCGUAGGCGGACCGGUGUGUCUGGCGUGAAAUCUCCACUGCUUAACAGGGAGGGGCCGCUGGAAACUGCCGAUCUUGAGUAUGGUAGAGGACCAUGGAAUUUCGGGUGUAGCGGUGGAAUGCGUAGAUAUCCGAAAGAACACCGGUGGCGAAGGCGGUGGUCUGGACCAAAACUGACACUCAGGUGCGACAGCGUGGGGAGCAAACAGG